AGUACAGUGGCGACCGGGUGAGUAACACGUGACUACCUACCCUUGAGUGGGGGAUAACCUCGGGAAACCGAGGCUAAUACCGCAUAAUAUCGGCGUCUAAUUAACGUCGAUCAAAGGAGUAAUCCGCUUUUGGAGGGGGUCGCGGCUGAUUAGCUAGUUGGUAGGGUAAUGGCCUACCAAGGCGAAGAUCGGUAUCCGGCCUGAGAGGGCGCACGGACACACUGGAACUGAAACACGGUCCAG
rnacentral:rRNA from 1 species